UACGAGGGGGGCGAGCGUUGUUCGGAAUUAUUGGGCGUAAAGGGUGCGUAGGCGGUUUGGUAAGUCUUAUGUGAAAUCUAACAGGCUCAACUUGUAGUGCUGCAUGAGAAACUGCCGGGCUUGAGUGUGGGAGAGGUGAGUGGAAUUCCUGGUGUAGCGGUGAAAUGCGUAGAUAUCAGGAGGAACACCUGUGGCGAAAGCGGCUCACUGGACCAUAACUGACGCUGAUGCGCGAAAGCUAGGGGAGCAAACAGG
rnacentral:rRNA from 1 species